CUGGUAACUGAAGCCCUGGUGAACGGCGGCCGUAACAAUAACGGUCCUAAGGUAGCGAAAUUCCUUGUCGGGUAAGUUCCGACCUGCACGAAUGGCGUAACGAUGGCCACACUGUCUCCUCCUGAGACUCAGCGAAGUUGAAAUGUUUGUGAUGAUGCAAUCUCCCCGCGGAAAGACGGAAAGACCCCAUGAACCUUUACUGUAGCUUUGUAUUGGAUUUUGAACAGACCUGUGUAGGAUAGGUGGGAGGCUUUGAAGCCGGAACGCUAGUUUCGGUGGAGCCAACGUUGAAAUACCACCCUGGUGUGUUUGAGGUUCUAACCUUGGUCCGUUAUCCGGAUCGGGGACAGUGCAUGGUAGGCAGUUUGACUGGGGCGGUCUCCUCCUAAAGAGUAACGGAGGAGUACGAAGGUGCGCUCAGACCGGUCGGAAAUCGGUCGUAGAGUAUAAAGGCAAAAGCGCGCUUAACUGCGAGACCCACAAGUCGAGCAGGUACGAAAGUAGGUCUUAGUGAUCCGGUGGUUCUGUAUGGAAGGGCCAUCGCUCAACGGAUAAAAGGUACUCUGGGGAUAACAGGCUGAUACCGCCCAAGAGUUCAUAUCGACGGCGGUGUUUGGCACCUCGAUGUCGGCUCAUCUCAUCCUGGGGCUGUAGCCGGUCCCAAGGGUAUGGCUGUUCGCCAUUUAAAGAGGUACGUGAGCUGGGUUUAAAACGUCGUGAGACAGUUUGGUCCCUAUCUUCCGUGGGCGCUGCAGAUUUGAGGAAGCCUGCUCCUAGUACGAGAGGACCGGAGUGGACGAACCUCUGGUGUACCGGUUGUCACGCCAGUGGCAUUGCCGGGUAGCUAAGUUCGGAAGAGAUAACCGCUGAAAGCAUCUAAGCGGGAAGCCCACCUCAAGAUUAGAUUUCCCUAAAGAGCCGUUCAAGACUAGGACGUUGAUAGGCAGGGUGUGGAAGCACAGCGAUGUGUGUAGCUAACCUGUACUAAUUGCUCGUU
rnacentral:rRNA from 16 species